GUUGUAAUAGCUCAGUUGGGAGCGCAUUAGCCUGAAGCUCUAAACGUCUCUCGAUCGAGCCCAGGCAACU